CACGCUCGAAGCAUAUCCUCAAGUAUUUGAAUAGUCCUCUUGUAAUAGGCUGAGAUUUGAUUAUAGGUUAAUUGUGAUUAAGGUGAUCACAAUAAUGCUAAAAUGGAAAUUAAGUGUUUCUAAACUUAAUGAGUAGCUUGAGAAUGAUAUUAGACAGGUUUUGGAAGUGUGAGGAUAGACACGAAAGGAAUCGAAGUGGAUAAAGAACUUCAAUUGCCUUUGUUACUCGAAAGUUGAAAUAUUAGUCAACCUGGUCAAAAAAAAAAGAGCAAAAUGAUGCCAAAUUGGAAAGUAAUUAUUUCCAAAUUAAUCUGACGACUUGUAGAGAUAUAUUAGUGUAAUUUGGAAGUGUUGGGAUGAAAUUGGAGUGAGUUGGAUGUGAGAAAUGGGUUGCCAGAGCUGCUGCUGCCAGCAGGGACUAAAUUGUUAAGCUGCAGG
rnacentral:lncRNA from 1 species